rnacentral:rRNA from 1 species
AGUUUAAUUUAAUAUAGGAUCUGCUCAAUGAUUUAUUAAAUAGCUGCAGUAUUUUGACUGUGCAAAGGUAGCAUAAUAAUUAGUCUUUUAAUUGAGGACUUGAAUGAAAGAUUUGAUGAGAAAUAAACUUUAUUAUUUAUAUAAUUAAAAUUUUAUUUUUAAGUAAAAAAGCUUAAAUUAUUUAAAGGGACGAUAAGACCCUAUAAAACUUUAUAGAUAUUAAUUUUAGUUUUUUUGGUYAUAUAAAUAUAUUAAUUUUAUUAUUUAUUUUAUUGGGGUGAUAAAAAAAAUUAUAAAACUUUUUUUAAAAUUUAACAUUAGUUAAUGAAUUUUUGAAUUAAAAUUUUUAAUUAAAGGAAAAAGUUACUUUAGGGAUAACAGCGUAAUUAAUUUUUUAAGUUCAAAUUUGAAAAUUAGUUUGCGVCCUCGAUGUUGAAUUAAGAUUAAUCUUAGGUGCAAAAUUUUAAGUAUUAGGUCUGUU